GCGAGGGUGGUGGAACUGGCAUACACACAGGCCUAAGGAGCCUGGCUCUUUUUGAGCGUGAGGGUUCAAAUCCCUCCCCUCGCA
rnacentral:tRNA from 1 species